rnacentral:other from 1 species
UGUAAACUACCAUGUGCGAUAGUGUUUCAGCAUAUCCCUUGGUCCGUAAUUGAUCCUUUUUGGAUGACACAAUCAAUUUCUGUGAGCAUGUCUGUCGUGUAACAGAAAGCCUAAAGAAUUGAGAGUCAGCCGCCUUGAACCUCAGGUUCCAAGGUCGCCUCAAGCACAACGGCAUGUGUGGUUUACAU